UGCCCAGCAACUCCUAUCCCUACUUCCUCGUGGUACGAGUAACCUUGGGGAAGAUCGGGUAACCAACCCCCGGUGGGAACUUUGGUCGUAUGCUGACAGGGAAGG
rfam:Aedes aegypti strain Liverpool supercont1.990 genomic scaffold, whole genome shotgun sequence.